GGAAGAAUAAGUGGGGGCUAUUACCCCCCAUGAUGACGGUACCAUUUGUAAGCUCCGGCUAACUCCGUGCCAGCAGCCGCGGUAAUACGGGGGGAGCAAGCGUUGUUCGGAUUUACUGGGCGUAAAGGGCGNGUAGGCGGUCACGACAAGUCAGUUGUGAAAUCUCCGGGCUUAACUCGGAACGGUCAACUGAUACUGUCGGACUAGAGUGCAGAAGGGGCAACUGGAAUUCUCGGUGUAGCGGUGAAAUGCGUAGAUAUCGAGAGGAACACCUGCGGCGAAGGCGGGUUGCUGGGCUGACACUGACGCUGAGGCGCGAAAGCUAGGGGAGCGAACGGGAUUAGAUACCCCGGUAGUCCUAGCCUUAAACGAUGAAUGCUUGGUGUCUCGGGUUACAUAGUCCCGAGGUGCCGUCGCUAACGCAUUAAGCAUUCCGCCUGGGGAGUACGGUCGCAAGACUGAAACUCAAAGGAAUUGACGGGGACCCGCACAAGCGCGUGGAGCAUGUGGUUUAAUUCGACGCAACGCGAAGAACCUUACCUGGGCUAGAAUGCCUCUGACAACCCGAGAGAUCGGGCCUUCCGGGUAAAACCGGACAGAGUGCAAGGUGCUGCAUGGCU
rnacentral:rRNA from 1 species